UUCAGAGACGGCAAGCGUUGUUCGGAUUUACUGGGCGUAAAGGGUCCGCAGGUGGCGAGGCAAGUCUGACGUGAAAUCCCGCGGCUUAACCGCGGAACUGCAUCGGAUACUGCCUUGCUAGAGGACGGUAGAGGAGACUGGAAUUCACGGUGUAGCGGUGAAAUGCGUAGAUAUCGUGAGGAACACCGGUGGCGAAGGCGAGUCUCUGGGCCGUUCCUGACACUCAGGGACGAAAGCGUGGGGAGCAAACGGG
rnacentral:rRNA from 1 species